rnacentral:rRNA from 1 species
UGAGUAACACGUAUCCAACCUGCCGAUGACUCGGGGAUAGCCUUUCGAAAGAAAGAUUAAUACCCGAUGGCAUAGUUCUUCCGCAUGGUAGAACUAUUAAAGAAUUUCGGUCAUCGAUGGGGAUGCGUUCCAUUAGGUUGUUGGCGGGGUAACGGCCCACCAAGCCUUCGAUGGAUAGGGGUUCUGAGAGGAAGGUCCCCCACAUUGGAACUGAGACACGGUCCAAACUCCUACGGGAGGCAGCAGUGAGGAAUAUUGGUCAAUGGACGAGAGUCUGAACCAGCCAAGUAGCGUGAAGGAUGACUGCCCUAUGGGUUGUAAACUUCUUUUAUACGGGAAUAAAGUGAGGCACGUGUGCCUUUUUGUAUGUACCGUAUGAAUAAGGAUCGGCCAACUCCGUGCCAGCAGCCGCGGUAGUACGGAGGAUCCGAGCGUUAUCCGGAUUUAUUGGGUUUAAAGGGAGCGUAGGCGGACGCUUAAGUCAGUUGUGAAAGUUUGCGGCUCAACCGUAAAAUUGCAGUUGAUACUGGGUGUCUUGAGUACAGUAGAGGCAGGCGGAAUUCGUGGUGUAGCGGUGAAAUGCUUAGAUAUCACGAAGAACUCCGAUUGCGAAGGCAGCUUGCUGGACUGUAACUGACGCUGAUGCUCGAAAGUGUGGGUAUCAAACAGGAUUAGAUACCCUGGUAGUCCACACAGUAAACGAUGAAUACUCGCUGUUUGCGAUAUACAGUAAGUGGCCAAGCGAAAGCGUUAAGUAUUCCACCUGGGGAGUACGCCGGCAACGGUGAAACUCAAAGGAAUU